rnacentral:rRNA from 1 species
GAUGAACGCUGACAGAAUGCUUAACACAUGCAAGUCGAUGGGGAAGUGGUGCUUGCACCCUGGCAACCAUGGCGGACGGGUGAGUAACGCGUAAGGGACUUACCUGCAGGACUGGGAUAACAGGGGGAAACUCCUGACAAGACCGGAUAAUGUCAUGGAGCUGCAUGGCUUUAUGAUGAAAGGAGACGCCUGCGGAGAGCCUUGCGUCCUAUUAGCUAGUUGGUGAGGUAAUGGCUCACCAAGGCGAAGAUAGGUAGCCGGCCCGAGAGGGUGGACGGCCACAAGGGGACUGAGAUACGGCCCUUACUCCUACGGGAGGCAGCAGUGGGGAAUAUUGGACAAUGGGGGCAACCCUGAUCCAGCAAUUCUGUGUGCACGAAGAAGGUUUUCGGAUUGUAAAGUGCUUUCAGCAGGGAAGAAGUAAGUGACGGUACCUGCAGAAGAAGCGACGGCUAAAUACGUG